UGUCCUUUACCUCUUGCAACCACUCUCCUGUUGUUGAGUUGAAAUUGGAGAGAAUAAGGUUAGGGGCACCCUUUCUUCUUCUGCAUCUGGGUUGUCCUGACACAAUCACUGCCUACUCCCUUGAGGAUAAUGAGUUAUGGCUUCGACAUUUGGUCGGGUUAAUCUCCCAGAUAGCAGGAGCAGCUUUUCUUGUUUACAGUUCAUGGAGUGGUAGCAAACUUAAUUAUGUCACCAUUCUAGUUAUGCUAGCAGGGAUAAUCAAAUAUGCUGAGAUAUGUAAGGAUUUUUUUUUUCAGAAACAACUGAGAAAUAAAUUUAAAAAGAUAAUUAAACUAAAUUUAUUUUACUGUAUAUUAAAAUGUGUAAGGGCCUCAGAAAAAUAAAUAAGCCAUUGGGCCUAAUAAGGGCAGCGGGCCCACUCGAAUUGGUCACAUGGCCUUGAGAGGGGUCCCUUUCCCCAAUUCAGAUUUUCAUUUCCUCAUUUCCCUUCUCUCUCUAGAACUCAGAUUUCUUAUUUUCUCUGACUUCUCUCUAACCUUGCUCCACCUUCUCUGUACCAAUUUCUCAAAUUUUCACCGUUGUUAUUUCAAUAGGUGGUCCCCCUACGUUCCCAGAGUCGAGAGCUUCCAAUCCAUCUGAUUAGUUUCGCAUCUCUCCACUGAUAAGGUACUAUCGGAAUUACCUCUGUGCGGAGGUAUUGUUAGGACGCUUUUAGGAACUGUGCUGUGAGAAUCAAAAGAUGGCGAGGAUGUUACUCUGGAGACAGUCUUGGAGGAGAACAGCGAUGCAACUGCUUAGUUCUGCUAGGAGAUUUCAUGACCCCCCUUAUGUUAUCUACAAACAAUUCCUUCUUAUGUUAUUCUGAAAUACUUUAGUGCUUCAAUUUUUAAAUUCCUACUCAAUUUGGAUAACUGUAAUCCCUAUACUCAAGACUCUUAACUGCCUGUCUGCACUCCAACUGCUUUCUUUAUUAUAAUGGAUGACGUCUUAUUAUUAUAUGCA